rnacentral:tRNA from 2 species
GUUUCUGUAGUUGAAUUACAACGAUGAUUUUUCAUGUCAUUGGUCGCAGUUAAAUGCUGUGUGGAAAUA